rnacentral:rRNA from 1 species
UACGUAGGGUGCGAGCGUGUCCGGAAUUAUUGGGCGUAAAGAGCUCGUAGGCGGUGUGUCGCGUCGGCCGUGAAAACCUGCAGCUUAACUGUGGGCGUGCGGUCGAUACGGGCAUCACUGGAGUUCGGCAGGGGAGACUGGAAUUCCUGGUGUAGCGGUGAAAUGCGCAGAUAUCAGGAGGAACACCGGUGGCGAAGGCGGGUCUCUGGGCCGAUACUGACGCUGAGGAGCGAAAGCGUGGGGAGCGAACAGG